UUGAUCAUCUAGGACGUGUGGUAGGUCAAGACCGCUUGGUUAGGUCGAACUCAUACUUUCAUCAACCAUUUGAUGACAUGAAAAAAAAAAUCAAAGAAGAAAUAUGGGAAAUGGUGUGAAAGGGGAUGCAAGAUGCUGUAACAAGACAAACUAUGUCUCCUCCCACACCCCAUUCUGAUAUAGGUAGUAAUAACAUGAGACAACAACUUGUUUUACAACUAGUUGUAGCAAAAAAACCAAUGUUUAAAAUGAUGGAAGAGCCCCAACCACCAGAACCACCACUGAAACGUAAGGUAUACAUUUACUUACUAAUAAUACAAGAUUAAUAUAAGUGAUAUAUAGCCUAUGUAAAUGAUAUUAUUUGUUGUAUUAAAGGUGAUUAAAUAUAAAUUAGCAGUGGAAUGAAAAUGAAAUGUUGUUGCAACUGGUACAUUAAUAGAAGAAAAUUGAUCAAAUGGGUUGGUCGUAAUAAAUGUUGCACACAAGCUAGAUGCUAGACUUCCAUUUCCAAAUCCAUAUGAGAUUAUCAAUGUUGGGGAUGCUAUUGGCUUUAAGCUUGACUGGCCAACAAGCCUUGUCAUACUUGAAACUAAACAUCCUCGGGUAUGUCAUUUUAUACUUGUAGUAAAUUUGAUUGUAACUUGGUAUUUUAUUGUUUAGGAGUAUAUAUUACUAACAUUCCUUCAUUUUUCAUAGGUGUUGGAUAAAGGAAAGAAGUAGAUAGUGAAUGCACCAAUUAUUCGAAAAUCUAAGCCUCAAAAUUAUUCGGUCAUUAAAAAUUUUCAGAAAUUUAUGGAUGGUUGUCUUAGUAAUGAGAAGACAUACCCAAUACAGCUCCCCAUUUCACUAUUUGGUGUCGAAUUCCGAACAUAUAUAUCUAGAGAGGAUUGUGAAUACAUUAUUUCAUCUUCAGAGGUGUUAUCAAAAUGCAUCUCCUUCCAUUUAUGGUGUGCACCUUUUAUUUUCAUUUGUUUUUAUUUUUUUAAUAUGAGUUGCCCCUGUUGAACAAGAUUGGAUAUGACUAAUGAUAAUUUUCUUUUGGUGUUUUGAUAAUAUAAUAGGUACAUGCAUGAUCAACUACAUAUUGCCAAAAAGGAAUCACAAUUUAUAUUUGUUAAUCCUUUUACAAUAUCAUGAGCAGGCUUUAGUAAUCCUCAAAUAGAGAAAAGAACACAAUUGUUGUCAAAACACUUAAUAGAGUGCCAAGAUGUCAGAUAUGUUUUCAUGCCCUACAACCCCGACUUUCAUUGGGUCUUGGUAGUGAUUGAGCCAAGGAAAAUGAUAGUCCACUAUCUUGACCCUGUGCAUCACAAACCAUGUGAGGACUUAAAGGAUAUCGUAAACAUGUAAGUUCUUCCUAUUAUUUUUCAUAGUAUUAUUUAAAAAAAAAAAUUACAUUCACCUCAAACACAUUUUUUAUUGUUAUUUCUAUAUAUUAAAACAUAUAACAUUUACCUAUUUUAAAAUUGUACCCAUUGAACUUAUUUACAUAGGGCUCUUUAAAUAUUUGCAAAGAAAACAUCUAAGAGAGAGCCAUCUUGGCAACUAGUGCAAGUGACAUCCAAAAAUUUUCUUUAAACAUUUAGCUUAUGCAUUUGCACCAUUUAUAUAUAUGAGUACUAAUGUUAUUUAUAACUGAUCCAUUAGUGUCCAAGACAAGAAGGAGGGUUCGAAUGUGGCUACUUUGUUAUAAAAUUCAUUAAAGAGAUAAUUUUUUAUCCUACAAUGAUUGCUUCAAAGUUUGGUGAUAAAAAAACAUAUUCUCAAGUAGAAUUCAAUGAAAUUAAAGGAGAAUUGACUACUUUUGUGCUACAACUAAUCAUGAAUCAUGUUGAUGCAUCAUGAUCACCAUGCAUGGUAUACACUCUUAGGAGGGUGGAAUAGAGAAUAAAAAGAACAAAGAAGGCAACAAGAUUUUGGGUUUUUAAAUACAGCUUGUAUGUCAUACGUUGAAGGACAUAAACGUUACUUUAAUUGGUAGUGAGAAUUUUAGAUUUUUA